rnacentral:lncRNA from 1 species
GCAGAUGAUUCUAAAGCACAGCAAAGUUGAGACACUAAAUGCUGGGCGUGGGUACGAGCAAUGCUGCCAUCAUUUCAAUUGCGGGCUGGGCCAAAUCUUUGUGCUCAGCAAAGACCUUUUCACCAGGGGCGUGAAUAGAGAAAACCCAGUGGCUGGACUGAGGAGCAGUCAUGAGACGGAAGCCACGGCAGAUGGAAGCUGGACAUUGCUUUGAUCAGAUGCUCAAGUGACAGGGGACGAGAGCUACCACCUCCAACUUUCCACAAGCUCUUGCUUGCAGUGCCCAUGUCAGGGCUGAGAUGCUUGCUUAAGGGAAUGAAGCAAGCUCUAGACUACAUUUGAUGAGCUCCCGUGGGAUACACAUGAAGGCCAAGAAGAUGGACUACAGUUCUGGGCCUGGCACAGUGGCAGGAACGGUGCACAAGCUCACUCUGCUGAUGCUCAUGACAGGCUGGGCAGAAUAAACUUAAAGAGGGUCUGCCAAUAACACGUGCUGGAUGCAGGGUUCCAGGCUGAGUCUGACUGGUGUAGGGGCCUCUGCAGGAGGUUACAGCUCAGAAGACCACUCUGAACUCUUUGGGGAGUCAGUAUCUCAUUGCCUUAGUCAGAAGUGUUCCAGUUACUGGGCUAGAAAAGGCUGAAGGCCGGGGCGUGGUGGUGCGUGCCUUUAAUCCCAGCACUUGGGAGGCAGAAACAGGCGGAUUUCUGAGUUCGAGGCCAGCCUGGUCUACAGAGUGAGUUCCAGGACAGCCAGUGCUACACAGAGAAACCCUGUCUCAAAAAAAAAAAAAAAAAAAAAAGAAAGAAAGAAAGAAAGAAAGAAAGAAAGAAAGAAAGAAAGA